rnacentral:rRNA from 1 species
GACGAACGCUGGCGGCGUGCUUAACACAUGCAAGUCGAACGGAAAGGCCCUGCUUUUGUGGGGUGCUCGAGUGGCGAACGGGUGAGUAACACGUGAGUAACCUGCCCUUGACUUUGGGAUAACUUCAGGAAACUGGGGCUAAUACCGGAUAGGAGCUCCUGCUGCAUGGUGGGGGUUGGACAGUUUAGGCGGUUGGGGAUGGACUCGCGGCUUAUCAGCUUGUUGGUGGGGUAGUGGCUUACCAAGGCUUUGACGGGUAGCCGGCCUGAGAGGGUGACCGGCCACAUUGGGACUGAGGUACGGCCCAGACUCCUACGGGAGGCAGCAGUGGGGAAUAUUGCACAAUGGGCGGAAGCCUGAUGCAGCAGCGCCGCGUGCGGGAUGACGGCCUUCGGGUUGUAAACCGCUUUCGCCUGUGACGAAGCGUGAGUGACGGUAAUGGGUAAAGAAGCACCGGCUAACUACGUG